GCAAACUUGGUCAUUUAGAGGAAGUAAAAGUCGUAACAAGGUUUCCGUAGGUGAACCUGCGGAAGGAUCAUUACAGAAUCGAACGCGGGAUGGGCUGACUGCUGGCUCCUCGGAGCAGGUGCACGCCCUCCCGACGCCUUCCAUUCUCCACGUCCCACCUGUGCACCUUUCGUAGGCCGCGAGCCGCCGUGCGCCCUCCGGGGCCGCGGGCUCGUCCGGCUCUACGAGCCCUUUUGUUUUUACACCCUUGAGAAAAAAACGUGUUGCAGAGUGUUCUUUUGUACAAGGGGACCGCUCGUCGGCCCCGUAGACAUACCAAUACAACUUUCAACAACGGAUCUCUUGGCUCUCGCAUCGAUGAAGAACGCAGC
rnacentral:misc_RNA from 1 species